rnacentral:tRNA from 28 species
GCGAGUAUGGCGGAAUUGGUAGACGCGCUGGAUUUAGGUUCCAGUGUCUUCGGACGUGAGAGUUCAAGUCUCUCUACUCGCACCA